rnacentral:sRNA from 1 species
UUUUCCAUGACUUUAUUUUGUAAAAAAAAAUGUAAAAAGUCAUGAACCAAUCAGAGAUUCUUUUGUUUUAAUUGAAUAACACAAAACUUAUUUUUAAUGAUUUUGUAAGAGUAUGAAUACAAUAACUCCAAAU